GUCGGUGUGGCGGAAUGGUAACGCGUUAGGAUGCCGAUUCUUCGUAGGAGAGGAGGCUACUAAGUCAAAGGGGGUUCGAUUCCCCCCUAAGAUG